rnacentral:rRNA from 1 species
AACGAACGCUGGCGGCGUGCCUAACACAUGCAAGUCGAACGGGAUUCGGAGCUUGCUCCGAUGAGAGUGGCGCACGGGUGAGUAACGCGUAGAUAAUCUGCCUGAUGAUCUGGGAUAACAGUUCGAAAGGACUGCUAAUACCGGAUAAGCCCACGGAGACCUUGGUCUUUGCGGGAAAAGGGGGGGACCUUCGGGCCUUCCGUCAUCAGAUGAGUCUGCGUACCAUUAGCUAGUUGGUAGGGUAAAGGCCUACCAAGGCGACGAUGGUUAGCUGGGCUGAGAGGAGGAUCAGCCACACUGGAACGGAGACACGGUCCAGACUGCUACGGGAGGCAGCAGUGGGGAAUUUUGCGCAAUGGGGGAAACCCUGACGCAGCAACGCCGCGUGAGUGAUGAAGGCUCUUGGGUCGUAAAGCUCUGACAGAGGGAAAGAAGUGUAUGGUGGUUAAUACCCAUUGUACUUGACGGUACCCUCAAAGGAAGCACCGGCUAACUCCGUGCCAGCCGCCGCCGUAAAAC